CCCAGUAGCGGCGAGCGAACGGGGAGCAGCCCAGAGUCUGAAUCAGCUUGUGUGUUAGUGGAACGGUCUGGAAAGUCCGACGGUACAGGGUGAUAGUCCCGUACACCAAAAUGCACAGGUUGUGAACUCGAAGAGUAGGGCGGGACACGUGGUAUCCUGUCUGAAUAUGGGGGGACCAUCCUCCAAGGCUAAAUACUCCUGACUGACCGAUAGUGAACCAGUACCGUGAGGGAAAGGCGAAAAGAACCCCGGCGAGGGGAGUGAAAAAGAACCUGAAACCGUGUACGUACAAGCAGUGGGAGCCUCUUUAUGGGGUGACUGCGUACCUUUUGUAUAAUGGGUCAGCGACUUAUAUUCUGUAGCAAGGUUAACCGUAUAGGGGAGCCGAAGGGAAACCGAGUCUUAACUGGGCGUUAAGUUGCAGGGUAUAGACCCGAAACCCGGUGAUCUAGCCAUGGGCAGGUUGAAGGUUGGGUAACACUAACUGGAGGACCGAACCGACUAAUGUUGAAAAAUUAGCGGAUGACUUGUGGCUGGGGGUGAAAGGCCAAUCAAACCGGGAGAUAGCUGGUUCUCCCCGAAAGCU
rnacentral:rRNA from 1 species